GAUGAACGCUGGCGGCGUGCCUAAUACAUGCAAGUCGAGCGAACAGAUGAGGAGCUUGCUCCUCUGACGUUAGCGGCGGACGGGUGAGUAACACGUGGAUAACCUACCUAUAAGACUGGGAUAACUUCGGGAAACCGGAGCUAAUACCGGAUAAUAUAUUGAACCGCAUGGUUCAAUAGUGAAAGACGGUUUUGCUGUCACUUAUAGAUGGAUCCGCGCCGCAUUAGCUAGUUGGUAAGGUAACGGCUUACCAAGGCGACGAUGCGUAGCCGACCUGAGAGGGUGAUCGGCCACACUGGAACUGAGACACGGUCCAGACUCCUACGGGAGGCAGCAGUAGGGAAUCUGCCGCAAUGGGCGAAAGCCUGACGGAGCAACGCCGCGUGAGUGAUGAAGGUCUUCGGAUCGUAAAACUCUGUUAUUAGGGAAGAACAAAUGUGUAAGUAACUAUGCACGUCUUGACGGUACCUAAUCAGAAAGCCACGGCUAACUACGUG
rnacentral:rRNA from 1 species